GACGGACGCUGGCGGCGUGCCUAACACAUGCAAGUCGAACGAAGCUUGAAGAUUGAUUCUUCGGAUGAAAUCUGAUAUGACUGAGUGGCGGACGGGUGAGUAACGCGUGAGCAACCUGCCCUUCGGAGGGGGAUAGUGUCUGGAAACGGACAGUAAUACCGCAUAACGUAUUUUUACCGCAUGAUAGAAAUACCAAAACUGAGGUGCCGAAGGAUGGGCUCGCGUUGGAUUAGAUAGUUGGUGGGGUAACGGCCUACCAAGUCGACGAUCCAUAGCCGGACUGAGAGGUUGAACGGCCACAUUGGGACUGAGACACGGCCCAGACUCCUACGGGAGGCAGCAGUGGGGAAUAUUGCACAAUGGGGGAAACCCUGAUGCAGCAACGCCGCGUGAAGGAAGACGGUUUUCGGAUUGUAAACUUCUGUUCUUAGUGAAGAAUAAUGACGGUAGCUAAGGAGCAAGCCACGGCUAACUACGUGCCAGCAGCCGCGGUAAUACGUAGGUGGCAAGCGUUGUCCGGAAUUACUGGGUGUAAAGGGAGCGCAGGCGGGAGACCAAGUCAGCUGUGAAAACUACGGGCUUAACCUGUAGACUGCAGUUGAAACUGGUUUUCUUGAGUGAAGUAGAGGUUGGCGGAAUUCCGAGUGAAGCGGUGAAAUGCGUAGAUAUUCGGAGGAACACCGGUGGCGUAGGCGGCCAACUGGGCUUUAACUGACGCUGAGGCUCGAAAGUGUGGGGAGCAAACAGGAUUACAUACCCUGGUAGUCCACACUGUAAACGAU
rnacentral:rRNA from 1 species